rnacentral:rRNA from 1 species
AUACGGAGGGUGCGAGCGUUAUUCGGAAUUACUGGGCGUAAAGCGCGUGUAGGCGGCCAACCAAGUCUGAUGUGAAAGCCCUGGGCUUAACCUGGGAAGUGCAUUGGAAACUGGCUGGCUUGAGUACUGGAGAGGAAGGGGGAAUUCCCGGUGUAGAGGUGAAAUCCGUAGAGAUCGGGAGGAAUACCAGUGGCGAAGGCGCCCUUCUGGACGGUUACUGACGCUGAGACGCGAAAGCGUGGGGAGCAAACAGGAUUAGAUACCCUGGUAGUCCACGCUGUAAACGAUGAGCACUAGGUGUAGCGGGUACUCAUUCCUGCUGUGCCGUAGCUAACGCGUUAAGUGCUCCGCCUGGGGAUUACGGUCGCAAGACUAAA